UACGUAGGGGGCAAGCGUUGUCCGGAAUUACUGGGCGUAAAGGGCUACGCAGGCGGCCAACUAAGUCGGGACGUGAAAUCCCUCGGCUUAACCGGGGAACUGCGUCCGAUACUGGAUGGCUAGAGUUCGGGAGAGGGAUGCGGAAUUCCAGGUGUAGCGGUGAAAUGCGUAGAUAUCUGGAGGAACACCGGUGGCGAAGGCGGCAUCCUGGACCGACACUGACGCUGAGGAGCGAAAGCCAGGGGAGCAAACGGG
rnacentral:rRNA from 1 species